rnacentral:rRNA from 1 species
GACGAACGCUGGCGGCGUGCCUAAUACAUGCAAGUUGAGCGCUGAAGGUUGGUACUUGUACCAACUGGAUGAGCAGCGCACGGGUGAGUAACGCGUGGGGAAUCUGCCUUUGAGCGGGGGACAACAUUUGGAAACGAAUGCUAAUACCGCAUAAAAACUUUAAACACAAGUUUUAAGUUUGAAAGAUGCAAUUGCAUCACUCAAAGAUGAUCCCGCGUUGUAUUAGCUAGUUGGUGAGGUAAAGGCUCACCAAGGCGAUGAUACAUAGCCGACCUGGGAGGGUGAUCGGCCACAUUGGGACUGAGACACGGCCCAAACUCCUACGGGAGGCAGCAGUAGUGAAUCUUCGGCAAUGGACGAAAGUCUGACCGAGCAACGCCGCGUGAGUGAAGAAGGUUUUCGGAUCGUAAAACUCUGUUGGUAGAGAAGAACGUUGGUGAGAGUGGAAAGCUCAUCAAGUGACGGUAACUACCCAGAAAGGGACGGCUAACUACGUG